AGCGGGGUAGUUUAGUCUGGCCUAAAACGUCGGUCUCAUAAGCCGAUCAUCGUGGGUUCGAAUCCCACUCCCGCCCCCA
rnacentral:tRNA from 1 species